AACGAACGCUGGCGGCAUGCCUAACACAUGCAAGUCGAACGAGACCUUCGGGUCUAGUGGCGCACGGGUGCGUAACGCGUGGGAACCUGCCCUUAGGUUCGGAAUAACUCCCCGAAAGGGGUGCUAAUACCGGAUAAUGUCUUCGGACCAAAGAUUUAUCGCCUUUGGAUGGGCCCGCGUUGGAUUAGCUAGUUGGUAGGGUAAAAGCCUACCAAGGCGACGAUCCAUAGCUGGUCUGAGAGGAUGAUCAGCCACACUGGGACUGAGACACGGCCCAGACUCCUACGGGAAGCAGCAGUGGGGAAUAGUGGACAAUGGGCGAAAGCCUGAUCCAGCAAUGCCGCGUGAGUGAUGAAGGCCUUAGGGUUGUAAAGCUCUUUUACCCGGGAUGAUAAUGACAGUACCGGGAGAAUAAGCUCCGGCUAACUCCGUG
rnacentral:rRNA from 1 species